GAUGAACGCUGGCGGCGUGCCUAAUACAUGCCAGUCGAGCGAACGGACGAGAAGCUUGCUUUUCUGAUGUUAGCGGCGGACGGGUGAGUAACACGUGGAUAACCUACCUAUAAGACUGGGAUAACUUCGGGAAACCGGAGCUAAUACCGGAUAAUAUUUUGAACCGCAUGGUUCAAAAGUGAAAGACGGUCUUGCUGUCACUUAUAGAUGGAUCCGCGCUGCAUUAGCUAGUUGGUAAGGUAACGGCUUACCAAGGCAACGAUGCAUAGCCGACCUGGGAGGGUGAUCGGCCACACUGGAACUGAGACGCGGUCCAGACUACUACGGGAGGCAGCAGUAGGGAAUCUUACGCAAUGGGCGAAAGCAUGACGGAGCAACGCCGCGUGAGUGAUGAAGGUCUUCGGAUCGUAAAACUCUGUUAUUAGGGAAGAACAUAUGUGUAAGUAACUGUGCACAUCUUGACGGUACCUAAUCAGAAAGCCACGGCUAACUACGUG
rnacentral:rRNA from 1 species